AGCGGCGGACGGGUGAGUAACGCGUGGGUGACCUGCCCCAUACCGGGGGAGUAACAGCUGGAAACGGCUGCUAAUACCGCAUAAGCGCACAGAGCUGCAUGGCUCAGUGUGAAAAACUCCGGUGGUAUGGGAUGGGCCCGCGCCUGAUUAGGCAGUUGGCGGGGUAACGGCCCACCAAACCGACGAUCAGUAGCCGGCCUGAGAGGGCGACCGGCCACAUUGGGACUGAGACACGGCCCAAACUCCUACGGGAGGCAGCAUG
rnacentral:rRNA from 1 species